rnacentral:rRNA from 1 species
UGGGGAAUCUUCCGCAAUGGACGAAAGUCUGACGGAGCAACGCCGCGUGAGUGAAGAAGGUUUUCGGAUCGUAAAACUCUGUCUUUUGGGGCGAACGUGAGUAUGGUGAACAAUCAUAGUCAGUGACGGUACCAAAGGAGGAAGCCACGGCUAACUACGUGCCAGCAGCCGCGGUAAUACGUAGGUGGCAAGCGUUGUCCGGAAUUAUUGGGCGUAAAGAGCGCGUAGGCGGGAUAGUCAGUCUGUUGUAAAGUGCGGGGCUCAACCCCGUGAUCGCAAUGGAAACAGCUAUUCUUGAGUGCAGGAGAGGAAAGUGGAAUUCCCAGUGUAGCGGUGAAAUGCGUAGAUAUUGGGAGGAACACCAGUGGCGAAGGCGACUUUCUGGACUGUGUCUGACGCUGAGGCGCGAAAGCCAGGGGAGCGAACGGGAUUAGAUACCCCGGUAGUCCUGGCCGUAAACGAUGGGUACUAGGUGUGGGAGGUAUCGACCCCUUCCGUGCCGGAGUUAACGCAAUAAGUACCCCGCCUGGGGAGUACGGUCGCAAGACUGAAACUCAAAUGAAUUGAC